rnacentral:rRNA from 1 species
AUGUGUGUUUUAUCUGUUGCUGAUAUUUUGGGAGGAGGUUUGAAUAAUGGCAGGUUUAGGAGAACUUUGUAUAGGGAAUCUUUGGAAUUGUGGGAACAUAUAAGAGAGGCUUGUGGGAGUGUGACUCUGAAUGAGCAGAGAGAUGUAGUGAGAUGGACACUGAUGGGCAAUGGGAAAUAUACUGUUAAAUCUUGUUAUAGAUAUAUGGUUCAAACUGGUUUCAGGUACCCGCAUAACUUUCUAUGGAAAGUUAAAAUGACCCCUAGGGUCAAAGUUUUCAUGUGGCUCACUUUGAGAGUGAGUAUACUCUCUAAAGAUAACUUGAUCAGGAGGAGGUGGUCUGGAGACAGUAAAUAUUCUUUUUGUGGGAGGGAAGACGAUAUUAAUCAUCUCUUCUUUCGUUGUUCCAUUGCUAGACUGUUGUGGAUGGUCAUGAAAUGCUCGUUUGGCAUGCAUGACAUUCCUGAUAACAUCCAACGCUUAUUCUUGAUUUGGAUCAGAAAAUUUAAUAAAAGUGAUAGAGAUCUCCCGACAAUUGGGAUUCCGGCUAUCUUCUGGACAUUAUGA